GGAGGGCUCCAGGCAGGGCUCCUCGGCGUCCCUCCGGGCCCCGACGGAGGUGCCGGAGAUCUUCCGGCUACAAACCCGGGCAGGUGGAGCUCGUUAGCCGUGGUAGGCAAUCUGCCUAGGAGAGCAAACUCUAUACAAACCCGGGCAGGUGAGGCUCGUUAGCCGUGGAAGGCAAUUCACCUAGGAGAGCAAACUCUAUACAAACCCGGGCAGGUGAGGCUCGUAAGCCGUGGAAGGCAAUUCACCUAGGAGAGCAAACUCUAAACAAACCCGGGCAGGUGGAGGUCGUUAGCCGUGGUAGGCAAUUCACCUAGGAGAGCAAACUCUAAACAAACCCGGGCAGGUGGAGGUCGUUAGCCGUGGUAGGCAAUUCACCUAGGAGAGCAAACUCUAAACAAACCCGGGCAGGUGGAGGUCGUUAGCCGUGGUAGGCAAUUCACCUAGGAGAGCAAACUCUAAACAAACCCGGGCAGGUGGAGGUCGUUAGCCGUGGUAGGCAAUUCACCUAGGAGAGCAAACUCUAUACAAACCCGGGCAGGUGGAGGUCGUCAGCCGUGGGAGGCAAUUCACCUAGGAGAGCAAACUCUAAACAAACCCGGGCAGGUGGAGGUCGUUAGCCGUGGGAGGCAAUUCACCUAGGAGAGCAAACUCCGAACAACAAACCCGGGCAGGUGGAGCUCGUCAGCCGUGGUAGGCAAUCUGCCUAGGAGAGCAAACUCCGAACAACAAACCCGGGCAGGUGGAGCUCGUCAGCCGUGGUAGGCAAUCUGCCUAGGAGAGCAAACUCCGAACAACAAACCCGGGCAGGUGGAGCUCGUCAGCCGUGGUAGGCAAUCUGCCUAGGAGAGCAAACUCCGAACAAUAAACCCGGGCAGGUGGAGGUCGUCAGCCGUGGUAGGCAGUCUGCCUAGGAGAGCAAACUCUAAAUAAACCCGGGCUUGUGGUGCUCGUUAUACUGUCGUAGACAAUCCACGCGAUGGGAACACCAAAGAAAAGGAAAAUAAAAAAAGAACACCAGAAAAAUGGAAAAUACAGAAACGAAACAUCAAGAAAAGAAACAAAAAGAUCAUCCACCUUUAGGCCCUAACAUCGCCAAAAUUAUGGGUGGGUCUCUUCUGGGGAGAAAGCGGCUCACCCAGACCAAAGAACAUCAACAAAAGGAUGAUAUGAAUAAAUGAACAUAAAAAAAACAAAGAAAAACACAUCAAGGAAAGAAAAAUAUAACAAACAUCAUCCACCUUCCGGCCCUGACUAACAUCACCAAAAUUAUGGGUGGGUCUCUUCUGGGGAGAAAGCGGCUCACCCAGACCAAAGAACAUCAACAAGGGAUGAUAUAGAAAAGAACACCCAAAAAAUAUGGAAAAAGAACAGAAAAAAUAUCGAAAAAGAAAAGCAACAGAAAUAAAUGAACAACAUCAAGAAAAGAGAAAUACAAAGAAACAUCAUCCACCUUUCGGCCCCAAACAACAUCACCAAAAUUAUGGAUGGGUCUCUUCUGGGAGGAAAGCGGCUCAUCCAGACCAAGGAACAUCAACAAAAGGAUGAUGGGAAAAAAAUAACAACAAAAAACAUCAAAAAGAAGUAAAAAGAAAAAGAACAGGAAAACAUCGAAAAAGAAAACAAAAGCAAUAAAAAGAACGAAAAAAACGACAUCAAGAAAAUAAAAUAAAACAAACAU